CAGUUAUCUCCAGCAUUUUGGUCUAGAGGGUACUGGUCCUGUUGGUAUUGAAGUAAAGAAAGUGCUAGGAGACUGUGUUGAGAUAGACAACAAAUCAUCAGACCAGUACUGGUCCCAUGGGUCUGCUUUCACUAGAGGAACCAACUUAAAUAAAACUGGAGACAACUGCAUGCAACAAAUAAAGUUUCCGUCCUUAAAUGACAAAAGAGAAAGUGAUGGACUCUUUGCUAUGAUUGAUGGAGGAAAAUCAAGCGAUGCCUCAAGCAAAAUCAAAAAGAAAAUGGCUACCAUAGUCUACUCUGAAAUGCUGGCUA